UCACCUCUCCUUGGGGAGAGGUCGAAAUCGCCCCGGCUAUUUCGGGUGAGGGG
rfam:Inquilinus limosus MP06 Ilimosus_MP06_contig00488, whole genome shotgun sequence.